UUCCUUUUUUUCUUCUUCUCGAGUAACAAAACAAGUUUAAUUACUAAUGCUCUACAAUCGAAAUUCAAAGAAACCCUUUGUACACAAAAUAAAAAUCCUCUCAAACAACUCGAAAUUCCAUUUCAACCAUUCCAUCCACCAACAACAGAUAAACAUUUGGAUCGAUAUUCGAACGUUUACGACUUCAGAGGAUCGAUCCAGGCCACGAGAGACAGAUUUCCUCCAGCAGAGGACGAGAAGAGAAAAAAUGAGGGAGAGAGAGAGAGAGAGAGAGAGAGAGAACCGUUUAAAAAUACCAAAGUGGAGCACUCCGCUACGCUCCUGGAAUCGAUUAGAGGAGGGGAGGAUACGCCACUGCUGCCCCCACGAAUGGAAAUUUCCUUUUUGUCGUUUUCGAACCGAGGAUCGUACGAUCGUUUCUUGAAAUUUUUGAUUUUGCGUCCGGAUUUGUUUGAUCGAUAAUUGGUAAUUGGAUUUUUCGAGUUUCAAAUAUAUAUAUAUAUAUGUAUGUAUAAAGAGAAAUCGGUACGUGGAGAAUAAUAAAGAUUAAUUUCAAUCAUUGUUUGGAGUUUCUUUUCCUUUUUUUCCUCGCAAAAGUAAUUAAUUAAUCCCAAGGCGAGACGAGAGAAUGAGAAACCUUCGAGACACGAGUCAGAAGGAAGUUGGAUUUUCUUCCCGUAUUUCGAUUUCUUCUUCUUCUUCUUCUUCUUCUUCUUCUUCCCGUUUCGUCUUUUAUGGCUUCAACGUCAUUGGCAACAACGCUCGGGCCAAUUUUAGAUUAGAUCGUUGGACGUAAACACAAAAGAAGUAAACUCCAGCAAAGCCGAAACCGCAUACAUUUUGCGAAAUGACAAAAAAACUAUACGUUUAAAAUCACAUCGAUUCGCAUCGUUGAAGAAAAUCGUAAUCGAAGGCGUAAUUUAUUCUUCCGUUUCUCAACGCUUUGUUUUUUUUUCUUCUCUCUCUCUCUCUCUCUCUCGCGCGCGCCUUGUCCUUGCCAUUCGAAACUCGCGUCUGGCAUUGAG